GACGAACGCUGGCGGCGUGCUUAACACAUGCAAGUCGAACGGAAAGGCCCUGCUUUUGUGGGGUGCUCGAGGGGCGAACGGGUGAGUAACACGUGAGUAACCUGCCCUUGACUGUGGGAUAACUUCAGGAAACUGGGGCUAAUACGGGAUAGGAGCUCCUGCUGCAUGGUGGGGGUUGGAAAGUUUCGGCGGUUGGGGAUGGACUCGCGGCUUAUCAGCUUGUUGGUGGGGUAGUGGCUUACCAAGGCUUUGACGGGUAGCCGGCCUGAGAGGGUGACCGGCCACAUUGGGACUGAGAUACGGCCCAGCCUCCUACGGGAGGCAGCAGUGGGGAAUAUUGCACAAUGGGCUGAAGCCUGAUGCAGCCCCGCCGCGUGCGGGAUGUCGGCCUUCGGGUUGUAAUCCGCUUUCGCCUGUGACGAAGCGUGAGUGACGGUAAUGGGUAAAGAAGCACCGGCUAACUACGUG
rnacentral:rRNA from 1 species